rnacentral:Y_RNA from 1 species
GGCUGGUGCCGAUGGUAGUGUGUUACCAGAACGUAUUAACAUUAGUGUCACUGAAGUUGGUGUACAACCUCCCACUGCUAAAUGUGACUGGCUUUAA